UGAAGCGGCAAGAGCCCAAAUUUGAAAUCGGGCAACCGAGUUGUAAUUUGGAGACGGGACACUAGAGAGGAGGAAGGCGAUUAAGUGCCUUGGAACAGGCUGCCGUAGAGGGUGAGAGCCCCGUGAAUCGCUGGAGACCGAUCAAUUAGUGCCCGCCGAAGAGUCGAGUUGUUUGGGAAUGCAGCUCUAAGUGGGUGGUAUAUUCCAUCUAAGGCUAAAUAUUAGCGAGAGACCGAUAGCAAACAAGUACAGUGAUGGAAAGAUGAAAAGAACUUUGGAAAGAGAGUGAAAUAGUACGUGAAAUUGUUGAAAGGGAAGGGUAUUUGAUCCGACAUGGUGUUUAGCAGCGGCCCGUUCCUCGUGGAUGGGUGCACCUGGUUUACACUGGGCCAGCAUCGGUUCUGGGAGCCAUAUACGGGGUUCGUGAAUGUGGCCCUUCGAUUCUGUCGGAGGGUGUUAUAGCGCGGACAUCUUGUGGCUAGCCGGGACCGGGGACUGCGGUGACUUGUCACCAAGGAUGCUGGCAGAACGAGCAAAUACCACCCGUCUUGAAC
rnacentral:rRNA from 1 species